rnacentral:rRNA from 1 species
UAGUGGAGCGAUUUGUCUGCUUAAUUGCGAUAACGAACGAGAUCCGAGCCCACUUAUAAUAGUGGGUAGCAUUAGUUUUCCACUAGCCUUUGUGUGUGUUUACGCGCGCACACUGGUUUUAGCGGUUAACCUAUGCAAGUCCGCUUCUUAGAGGCACAAUAUAACA